UACGUAGGGACCGAGCGUUGUUCGGAUUUACUGGGCGUAAAGGGCGCGUAGGCGGCAAUUCAAGUCAGCUGUGAAAUCUCCGGGCUUAACUCGGAACGGUCAGCUGAUACUGCUUUGCUAGAGUGCAGAAGGGGCAAUCGGAAUUCUUGGUGUAGCGGUGAAAUGCGUAGAUAUCAAGAGGAACACCAGUGGCGAAGGCGAGUCCCUGGACAACACCUGACACUGAGGCACGAAAGCGUGGGUAGCAAACAGG
rnacentral:rRNA from 1 species